rnacentral:rRNA from 1 species
UGGAAGUAAAAGUCGUAACAAGGUUUCCGUUAGGUGAACCUGCGGAAGGAUCAUUAUUAUAAGGCGUGGAAAGGCCCCUGUGACCGUCCUCACAAGGGCCUAAUAGAAAACUCUAAACUUACUGUCUGAGAAGGCCACGUGCCGUAAUCUUUAAACAUUUUAAAACCUUCAACAACGGAUCUCUUGGUUCUCGCAUCGAUGAAGAACGCAGCGAAAUGCGAUAAGUAAUGUGAAUUGCAGAAUUCAGUGAAUCAUCGAAUCUUUGAACGCACAUUGCGCCCUUUGGUAUUCCAUAGGGCAUGCCUGUUCGAGCGUCACUAACAACCCCAUCACAAUGAGUGUGGUAUUGGCAGAAGUGGGUAGGGCUAGCAUUGCUGGCCCCACUCUGCUGGAAUGAAUAGGCCGGAAAUGUAGACCAUGGUAACAAACUUUCAGAGUAUUUUAAGAUGCUAAAUUAGUUUGUAGGCUGGUCAGAAUCCAGGCCAUUGGACCCCCAUUCUGUGUAAAGCAGUAAUGUUGACCUCGGAUCAGGUAGGGAUACCCGCUGAACUUAAGCAUAUCAAUAAGUCGGAGGAA